rnacentral:lncRNA from 1 species
GGGGGCCAACAAUGGGCUCCAGCGCGCGCUUCCUGUAAGGAAAGCGUCGGGCGCAGUCCCGACACCCCCGCCCUCCCCCAAAUGUUUGCACCUCCAUCAAAGCGGCGGGGCGGACCCUGGGGGAGGGAGGGCGAGAAGCCGGGCUGGAGCCACCCAGGACCCUGGCUCCUAGAGCCACUGCUAAACUCUCCACUCCCACGCGCUGUCCAAGCGCACACCGGCGCCUGCGACUUUGCCCCGCGGAGUGUCCACGCUGCGCGCACCUGAGAGGGACUUCGGCGGAUCGGCGUCUCCCGGGUCUCCUUGACCUCUCCAAAGCCUCAGCCUCCCCAGGUGUGGCAGCUUUGGGACACGUCCCCUCGCCCCAUGGACUGCCACUAACUCCCACCUCGGCAUCCAGGUCCCCCACGACCUUCACCUGCGUGGAGAGGGAAGCUCAAUGCGGAUCUGUCCAGAGAGGGAAAUAGACGAACAGAUAGCGACCCUAGUAGGAGGUGUCCUCGCGUCCCACAUAAAAGCUGGACUUUGACGGUGGAUGCGCCUGCACCGAAUGUGGCCCCGGGAGUCCCUGGUCUCUUUGCGCCGGGGAUUGUUGGAACGCAUGCUGCGCGCGUUUCCCUACCCGCCUCGCCAUGCGGUGUGGGCAGCAGUUGGUUUAUUGCCUCUCGGUGAGAACCUCUGCCGGGAGAGUGAGGGGAAGGUGACAAAGAGCAGGAAAUAGUUCAAUGGGGUCUCUUUAAACAAUAACAUUCCUCUAAAACGGGAGCCCAGGAAGCGGGAAGGAAGCCAGAGCUCGCGCCCAGCUCUUUAACGAGACUCUGGGUUCCAGCCUCCGUUUCCCCGUCUUCCACUCUCCUAUCCUAUCCCGAAGCUCCUUGGAAGAGGCCCCUGAAUCAGGUGGGGGCACUCAAUUCUGAGUUCGUUGUCUCUCUGAGAGUCUCCCUGGGAAGUCUUUGGGGUCGGAGUUGUGGGUUCUACCUGCCCCUACUUCUGGGAGAGACGGUUUUCCAGGAGCCAACCUCUGGGGUGGGAUGCCCUAGACUACCCUCCUCUGCCCUUUCCCACUGAAUACUGGGGUGUUCGGCUGCUUUUCUGUGGUCUAGGAUAUAAAGAAAUCUCUGGCUAGAGGAGCGGGACACUUCUUUCUACAGACACCAAAAGGCUCUCAUUUGCGCCCAACCCCGACCCUCCUGCAAUGAGCACCAGCCAGUUUGUGUUGUGGGUUUGCAGAAGUAUACAAGGGAGAUUUCACCUUUUCUACCCUCGGGGACGCUAAGGCCUGAGACUUCCUGGAACUAGGAAUAAAUCUCGGUGGAGGAGGACAUGAAAGUCAAGGGAGGCUGGGUCACUAAUAUAUGUCACUGACGCGUUUAACCUCUGGCGUGAAGGCGGAGCCGGUCCUGGGAAUGUUGUUGGUCAAAAGUGGAUUUUCGCCAUCGUUCAGGAAGCUGGUAGAAGAUUGCUCUGGAACUGUUCUCCAAAGAGGAGGAGGCAAAUAAAUGGUGUUACUUUC